rnacentral:rRNA from 1 species
GAUGAACGCUGGCGGCGUGCCUAAUACAUGCAAGUCGAGCGAAUGGAUUAAGAGCUUGCUCUUAUGAAGUUAGCGGCGGACGGGUGAGUAACACGUGGGUAACCUGCCCAUAAGACUGGGAUAACUCCGGGAAACCGGGGCUCAUCCCGGAUAACAUUUUGAACCGCAUGGUUCGAAAUUGAAAGGCGGCUUCGGCUGUCACUUAUGGAUGGACCCGGGUCGCAUUAGCUAGUUGGUGAGGUAACGGCUAACCAAGGCAACGAUGCGUAGCCGACCUGAGAGGGUGGUCGGCCAAACUGGGACUGCGACACGGCCCAGACUCCUACGGGAGGCAGCAGUAGGGAAUCCUCCGCAAUGGACGAAAGUCUGACGGAGCAACGCCGCGUGAGUGAUGAAGGCUUUCGGGUCGUAAAACUCUGUUGUUAGGGAAGAACAAGUGCUAGUUGAAUAAGCUGGCACCUUGACGGUACCUAACCAGAAAGCCACGGCUAACUACGUGCCAGCAGCCGCCGUAA